AAGUCGUAACAAGGUUUCCGUAGGUAAACUUGCGGAAGGAUCAUUAGAAAUUUUUUAUGUAUUCAAAAUUUCAAUCUUUAUAAAAAAAUUUUUGUAUUUUAUUUAUAUAAAAUAAAAAGACAACUUUCAACAACGGAUCUCUUGGCUCUU
rnacentral:misc_RNA from 1 species